rnacentral:misc_RNA from 1 species
AACAAGGCGUACCUGCGGACCUGCGGAAGGAUCAUUACGAGAGUGUCACCACUCCCAACCCAUUGUUUACCUACCCGUCCACCGUGCUUCGGCAGGCAGCCCUGUGGGACAGAGCCUCGCCCCCUUUCGCGGGGGGUGCCUGCCGCUUGCCAACCAAAACUCUAGCUGUUUUAGUACCAUCUGAGUCUUCCACAAAUGAACAAAACUUUCAGCAAUGGAUCUCAGAUCGGAAGAGCACAC